rnacentral:rRNA from 1 species
GUGGGGAAUAUUGCGCAAUGGGCGAAAGCCUGACGCAGCGACGCCGCGUGGGGGACGAAGGCCUUCGGGUUGUAAACCCCUGUCAGUGGAGACGAAUGAGUGAGUGGCCAAUAUCCACUUGCUCUGACGGUAUCCGCAGAGGAAGCACCGGCUAACUCUGUGCCAGCAGCCGCGGUAAGACAGAGGGUGCAAGCGUUGUUCGGAAUUACUGGGCGUAAAGGGCGCGUAGGCGGUUGGGCAAGUCGGAUGUGAAAUCCCUCGUUUUAAGCGAGGAACUGCAUUCGAAACUGCUCGACUUGAGUCUCGGAGAGGGAAGUGGAAUUCCUGGUGUAGAGGUGAAAUUCGUAGAGAUCAGGAGGAACACCCGUGGCGAAGGCGGCUUCCUGGACGACGACUGACGCUGAGGCGCGAAAGCGUGGGUAGCAAACAGGAUUAGAAACCCCGGUAGUCC